rnacentral:lncRNA from 1 species
GUAGGUCUAUACAAGUACAUGGCCUGGUUAGGAACCUUCACUUUCACAAGUGGAUGCCAAGUUCUUAGGUGUACAUCCGCAUCUAAUCAGAAGUAUAGAGUUUCAGCUGUUGGGUACCUGCCAGACAAUUUAUCCUUGACUUCUCUGCUCCUUAAUUCUUAUGGAAGUUUGAUUGGAGAAAACAACAUUUAGGGAGAGAUGCAGGCCAUCCAACUUUCUUUCUUUCUUUCUUUCUUUCUUUCUUUCUUUCUUUCUUUCUUUCUUUUUCUUUCUUUCUUUCUUUUCUUUCUUUUUUUCUUUCUUCCUUCCUUCCCUUUCCUUUCCUUUUUCUUUUAUUUCUUUUAUUUUUUUUCAAGAUGGAGGCUCACUCUGUCUCCCAGGCUCGAGUGCAGUGGUGGUGAUCACAGCUCACUGCAGCCUUGACCUCUUGGGUUCAAGCAAUCCUCCUGCCUCAGUCUCCUGGGUAGUUGGGACCACAGGCAUGAGCCACCAUGCCCAGCUAAUUUUUACACUUUUUAAAGAGAAAGGGUCUCCCUAUGUUGCCCAGGCUGGUUUUAAAUUCCCGAGUUCAAGCAAGCCUCCCACCUCGGCCUCCUGAAGUGCUGGCAUUACAAAUGGAAGCCACAACACUUGGCCUUCUUUUAGAUAUUUUAGAUAUUUUAAACUUUAUCUGUGCAUCAAGUCAGAUACUUAAAAAACUUCAUUUGUGAACUGCAUCAUGUCAUUCCCUCAGAGAACUGAAUUUUAAAGGACCUCACUUUGUCAUUAGGCCCUAGGUUAAAGGCUCCUGGAGUGAUACCAUAAGAAACAGCUAUUGGAAACUCAUCUGCUUUAAGUGUCAUUCAUGACAUCAGUGUCCCUUUUGAGGACAUAUGGGAGAAACGUCUUUCAGGUCUUAAGGCUCCUGAGACCGUGGUAUGUAUGUUAUAAAACACUGUGAAUCCUAUAACUUGUCUGUUUUCUUCAUUGCUCAGAGCCAAAUGUGUGAUCCCCCUCCAGAAAAGACUUGAGUCUUUACAGUUGGAAUUUCCGUGUCGUGAGUGACAGGAUCUUGGUCCAUCACCCAGGCUGGAAUACAGUGGUGCAAUUAUAGUUCACUGCGGCCUCAAAUUCCUGCACUCAACAGAUCCUCCCACCUCAGCCUCGCAACUGGCUGGGACUACAGGGAUGCACCACCACACCUGGCUAAUUUUUAACUCUUUCGUAGGAAUGAGGUCUUGCUGUGUUGCCCAGGCUGGUCUCGAACUCUGGGGGUCAAGAGAUCCUCCCAUCUCGGCCUUCCAAAGUGUUGGGAUUACAGGCACGCACCACCACACCUGGCUACAUGCCUAAUUUAACAUGAGCUAGAGUUAGGUUUGGCCAUCCCUAGUGUUCAGUGGAGUUGUAGAGUUAGUCUCAAAUGCCAGAGUGAAAGUCCUUGCCUAUCACUCCCUCAUGGGGUAACCAUGGUGGAGCUGCCCAAUUUCCUCAUCUCAGAAGUGAAUAUAAUAGCUUCUACCUCAUAGGGUUGUUGUGAGAAUUGCAUGAGGAAACCAUGGAAAGGAAUUCAUAGAGUACUUAGAAAGGCAGUAAGUACAGGGACAGAUUUGGGUUUCAUGGGACUUGAAGACUACACAACUUCGGAAGCCCUCUUUAAUGAAAAGAAGAUAAAUCUUACUUUUGCAAGUUUUAUAUGAAUAUGUGACUAUGUGAACACAUUGCUCAGGUCCUCCCCUCGCCCGCACACAAGGUCUAGAAAAAGGCUUAUUAAAGUGAGACAUCCUGAAGCUUAAGCGUCACCAGCUUCAAGUUCAACCCACCUCUGAAUAAAUGCUUCAAAUAAAU